GUCAUUGCGCAGACAUCGCGAUCAGUGAACAGCAAAGGCCUGCAGUCUCAGAGAUUUUGAGAGAUAUUGAAAGAGGAUUAUGAAUCGCCUUUUCAUUGUGUUUGUUGGGGUAGCUGUUGUUACUGUUGCUAUAGCCGACGAAGUACCGAAUACGUUAGACUUCUACCCUACGUGUGAAUGCAAUAUUGAAUAUGGCGUUGCUGGAAUUGGAAGAGCUUUUCCGUGGCCUUGUUUGAAUGAUUGGAGACCAUGUGAUCGGGAACAUGGCCAACGUUUUGGCAACACGUGCUGUCGCUACUCCCCUGGUUACAUACGUGGAGGAAAGAAGUGAUAUUACCCAGAAGACUUCACAGCUGCAAAUGUCAAAAAUGUAACACUGCGCUUAAAAAUAAAACUGAACUAUUCUUUAAAUUAUUUUGU